AGUAGUUACGAAUAUGGGGCGUGAAUUUUUAGCAGAUAACAAUUUCAAUGGGAGAUUGUCCAAUUUGAAUCCAAUAUUGUCUAUCACGUGACGGACAAAACUACUUAUUUGCAAAAUACUCCUUGCUUUAGAAUAAAGUGGCUUUCUACUGGUAAAAGAGUAUAUUAGCGUAGGUAACAUGAAUAUGUAAAAAAAUCAUAGUUUGUAUAAGGAUAAUAAAAGUAUAAAUGUAUGAAUCACCCUGUGCUUAUAUCUGUUCCCUUAUCACACAUAUGCGGGUUAUUUGUACAAUUAAUUGCAACAUUGUACUACGCAUAAAAGACUAGUCUUUGUAUUUUUUCUCAUCGGUUCGUCUCUAAACAUGUUCAAGCUAUUAUUAGUUACCGUUCUUGUUACUGCGUGUGUUCACGCAAAAUUAUUAAAGGGGGUGAUUGAUGAGAAACCAGUUUCUAAUAUGAAAAAUCUUGAAGAUGAGGCGAACGAAAAUGAUUUAAGCUACCCUCCUGAUAUGGCUAUUCCGGGAAUAUAUGAUAUUCAAUGCAGUGAAAUUGGCGAGUUUUGCAACUAUCACACAGACUGUUGCAGUAACGCUUGUUUGGGGUACAUGAAGCGAUGUGUUUCUGGUUCAGGAUAGAAGAAAUCGUUAACAUACCAUAUGAUUUCAUUGUGUACAUUUUUAUGCCGCUUAGAAUAUCAAGAAUAUCGUAACCAACUAUUUUUGUUCUAAAACUAGGUUUUAUUAAAGCUUUAUAAUCACCAACAA